AGUGAACGCUGGCGGCAGGCCUAAAACAUGCAAGUCGAACGCUGUAGCAAUACAGAGUGGCGCACGGGUGCGUAACACGUGGGAAUAUGCCUUUUGGUACGGAAUAGCUCCGGGAAACUGGAAUUAAUACCGUAUGGUCCCUUCGGGGUAAAGAUUUAUCGCCAAAAGAUUAGCCCGCGCUGGAUUAGCUAGUUGGUGAGGUACUGGCUCACGAAGGCAACGAUCCAUAGCUGGUCUGAGAGGACGAUCAGCCACACUGGGACUGGAGACACGGCCCAGACUCCUACGGGAGGCAGCAGUUAGGAAUAUUGGACAAUGGGGGCAACCCUGAUCCAGCCAUGCCGCGUGAACGAUGAAGGCCUUCGGGUUGUAAAGUUCUUUAGCCGACGAUUAUAAUGACUGUAGUCGGAGAAUAAGCCCCGGCUAACUUCGUGCCAGCAGCCGCCGUAA
rnacentral:rRNA from 1 species